rnacentral:rRNA from 1 species
UAACAAGGAUUCCCUCAGUAACGGCGAGUGAAGCGGGAAGAGCUCAAAUUUAAAAUCUGGUUUACUUGUAAGCCCGAGUUGUAGUCUGAAGAAACGUUUUCCAUAAGCACUGAGGCAAAAGUCCCUUGGAACAGGGCAUCAUAGAGGGUGAGAAUCCCGUCCAUGGUCUCAAGUUGUUUAUUUUGUGAUACGUUUUCAAAGAGUCAGGUUGUUUGGGAAUGCAGCCUAAAAUGGGUGGUAAAUUUCAUCUAAAGCUAAAUAUUGGCGAGAGACCGAUAGCGAACAAGUACCGUGAGGGAAAGAUGAAAAGAACUUUGAAAAGAGAGUUAAACAGUACGUGAAAUUGUUGAAAGGGAACCGUUUGAAGCCAGUCUUACUUGCUCGUGAUCAAUUUUUGCCUCGGCAUGAAUGCACUCUCGGGUAUGGUAGGCCAACGACAGUUUAGAAUGCGAGAAAAAAAUAGGGGAAAUGUGGCCUUCGGGUGUUAUAGUCCCUUAUAAAAUAUCGUGUUCUGGACUGAGGAUCGCAGCAAAAAUGUGGGCAGGUGGAUUUCUGUGGUAACUGUCGGUUAGGACAACUUGUUGACCUAGUCUUCCUUAGCCUCACUAUUUACCUUGCUUCUAAUUUGCUUAGGUCGUUGGCAUAAUGGCUUUAAAUGA